GUGGGGAAUCUUCCGCAAUGGACGAAAGUCUGACGGAGCGACGCCGCGUGAGUGAAGAAGGCCUUCGGGUCGUAAAGCUCUGUCAUCAGGGACGAACGGCCGGUGGAGUGGAAAGCCAUCGGAUUGACGGUACCUGAGAAGGAAGCCACGGCUAACUACGUGCCAGCAGCCGCGGUAAUACGUAGGUGGCAAGCGAUGUCCGGAAUUAUUGGGCGUAAAGCGCGCGCAGGUGGGAUCUUAAGUCCAUUUUUAAAGUUCGGAGCUCAACUCCGUGAUGGGAUGGAAACUGGGAUUCUUGAGUACCGGAGAGGAAAGCGGAAUUCCCCGUGUAGCGGUAAAAUGCGUAGAUAUGGGGAGGAACACCAGUGGCGAAGGCGGCUUUCUGGACGGUGUCUGACACUGAGGCGCGAGAGCCAGGGGAGCGAACGGGAUUAGAAACCCCUGUAGUCC
rnacentral:rRNA from 1 species